rnacentral:misc_RNA from 1 species
AAGAGUUUAUAACUCCCAAACCCCAUGUGAACAUACCUAACGUUGCCUCGGCGGGUCGUACCUACCCUGUAGUGCACUUACCUGUAAGUGCCUACCCGGUAGGCACGGGUAAGCCCGCCGGCGCCCCAUUAAACUCUGUUUAAUUACUGGAUAUCUGAAUUACAACUAAAUAAGUUA